rnacentral:pre_miRNA from 1 species
CUCGUCUAUGUGGUGCCUGUAAGUCCUGUUUUAAAAGUCUUAAGGCAUUUCUUAGAUGAUCU